CAAUCCCUUUGCAGCAACCUGGAGUAAAGACCCUUGCUGAAGGACACACCGGUGGUGACGACUGCGGAGAUCGAACCAGUAACCUUCUGCUGACCAGCUCAGUGCUUUAGCCCAGUACACCACAAAAAUAGUCAUGCUCAUGGAGAGCAGCACACAAAUGUUUGGAGCAGACACAGCAGCAGUCAGAUUGUCCCGCACAUGUUCUCCUGCUCUUGUUCAGGGUUGUAUGGUUCAGGAGUGUCAUCAUGGUCUUCCUCAUUCGCUCUGUGCACUCAAGCAAGGACAGCCUCGAUGUCCCUUUCCCAUCCAUGAUCAGAUUCAGUCUGAAUUUUCAGUCUCAGUUUUGAAGAUCAUGCAGUGUGAACUCGGCAUUAGGAGGCAUUAAGAGAGAACCGCUAUUACAUCGCGGGACAAGCAAUUGCUGUAAGUUUAGUCCAUGGGGGGCCUGCUCCAGGAUUUCUAUCUCAAGUACUGUUCUCCUGUUUGGUUAAUGGCCCGGAGUCAGCAAAACCCACACUGAAUGACAUUGCAGACUCUUGUUUAUAUGAGAAGGUCAAAAAGAUUCAAGAUGCCACAAAUUUAAAGGAGCUGUUAGAGGCAACAGAGCUGUUGAUGGACUAUUUGCUGCCUGCUGGAUGUCUCAGGUCUCUAAAAAG